rnacentral:rRNA from 1 species
UGGGGAAUUUUGGACAAUGGGCGAAAGCCUGAUCCAGCAAUGCCGCGUGUGUGAAGAAGGCCUUCGGGUUGUAAAGCACUUUUGUCCGGAAAGAAAUCCUUGGCUCUAAUACAGUCGGGGGAUGACGGUACCGGAAGAAUAAGCACCGGCUAACUACGUGCCAGCAGCCGCGGUAAUACGUAGGGUGCAAGCGUUAAUCGGAAUUACUGGGCGUAAAGCGUGCGCAGGCGGUUUGCUAAGACCGAUGUGAAAUCCCCGGGCUCAACCUGGGAACUGCAUUGGUGACUGGCAGGCUAGAGUAUGGCAGAGGGGGGUAGAAUUCCACGUGUAGCAGUGAAAUGCGUAGAGAUGUGGAGGAAUACCGAUGGCGAAGGCAGCCCCCCGGGCCAAUACUGACGCUCAUGCACGAAAGCGUGGGGAGCAAACAGGAUUAGAUACCCUGGUAGUCCACGCCCUAAANGAUGUCAACUAGUUGUUGGGGAUUCAUUUCCUUAGUAACGUAGCUAACGCGUGAAGUUGACCGCCUGGGGAGUAC